CGAGAGUCCCCACGGGGCUGUCCUGGCCCUGAUCACAGCCCCUGCCCCGCCUCGGAGGAGCAAAGCCAAGCCGGGAGCUCCUGCUAGGAUCCAGCGGUGUGGAGUGCAGACUACCCACUGCUCCCACGCCUCGGGGUUCCCUCCACAGAGCGGGUGAUGCUCGGGACAACACACAGGCAAGGCUGCGGUGAUGCACUGUGGGGGGAGCCCCAGCCCCAACUCCCUGCCAAGCUCCAGGGGCGGGGUCAGGCAGGAAAGGCAGACUCGCCCUGGGCCAGCCGGAUCGAGGCACGCAGCCACUCUCGCCCCUGACACCCACCGUGUGCGGCCCACGCCCUGCGGCCCGGGGCCCCGUCCACCCCAGCAUCAUCCCGGUGACGUCUGACACCUGCAGGCUGGCUUCAGAGUUCAGUGAAGGCUGCUGGGGACCCCAGGACCUUGAGCCGACCCACUCGGACUCCACAGCACCUGGCGGGGGGCCCACGCGAACCCCAUGCCGCACUUGGACCCCAGCGUCCGUCCUGGCGCCCGCCUGGCCUGUGAACAUGCCCCCACCCGUGGACACUGCUCCCUGGCCUUGGGCUCUGCCCUGACCCUCUCGUCUGUGGGCGAGAAGAGCCCAGAACAGACGCCUCAGACCCAGCUGGCGCUCGGAGACGGAGCCGAGUUGGGGGUAGUGUCUGCCCAGCCUGAGAGGGUGGCAAAGUUGUGGACGGUGGGAGGCUGCCCAGAGCUCCAGGGACUCCAGGAGGGAGGGAGGGUGGUGGUCUCUGUGGGCCGAGGCACGGCCCAGGAGGCGGGAAGGACGGAGGCAGCCCCCAGGCGGCCUUGGCAAACUGGAAAUGAGGGAACCCCACAGCUCCGAGGGACAAAAGCCGCCUGAGGCGCCUCUGGUUUUCUGCGGCAGCCAAGGGAGUUUAAUGCCUGGAAAAUAAAACCCACCCUGACCCCCAUCUCCAUUCGACCUUUGUUUCCAGAAGCUUCCCGCGGGCCUCCUCCGGGCUCCAGGCUCUGCAGACUCUGUGGUCAGAGCCCAGGGCCAAAAAGUGGGCUGCGGGGGUUCUCUGCCCGGGAACCCAGUGACUUUCUAAGGAAAGCCUGUCCCCAGGGCCACUGGCCCAUCUGGGCCUCGUCCUCUUACCCCCCUGGGCUGCUGACAGCCCCAAAGCCCCACGAUCCCCCCAGACGCCCAGCCCGCCCAGGAGGGCCCCACAGAGCAGGCUGCCCGAGAGACCUCCCCACGAGGAGGUGAUCCUGGGCGGCGCGGGGGUGAGCAGACAGCUGGGCAGGGCAGGGACUUCCAGGGCUCCCCAGAGAGCACCCCAGGGGUGCGGGUGGGAAGGCACUAGGGGAGGGGAGGGGCUCAGCAGGGACAAAGGCCUGGCCGUGGAGUGGGACAGGGAGCCAAGGGUGUGCAGGAAGAGGGAGGGACGGGCUAUGGGUGCAGUGGUUGGGGGGAGAGCUAGAGAGAGGAUCUGCCCUGUCCUGACACCUGGCUGUACCUGUCCCCCUGGGGAGCAGAAGGCCCCCAGACCAGGCACCCC
rnacentral:lncRNA from 1 species